CAGUCGCCGCGGUAAUACGAAGGGUGCAAGCGUUACUCGGAAUUACUGGGCGUAAAGCGUGCGUAGGUGGUGGUUUAAGUCCGUUGUGAAAGCCCUGGGCUCAACCUGGGAAUUGCAGUGGAUACUGGGUCACUAGAGUGUGGUAGAGGAUAGUGGAAUUUCCGGUGUAGCAGUGAAAUGCGUAGAGAUCGGAAGGAACAUCUGUGGCGAAGGCGACUAUCUGGGCCAACACUGACACUGAGGCACGAAAGCGUGGGGAGCAAACAGGAUUAGAGAACCGUGUAGUCCUGUCUCUUAUACA
rnacentral:rRNA from 1 species